UACGGGGGGGGCAAGCGUUGUUCGGAAUUACUGGGCGUAAAGGGCUCGUAGGCGGCCAACUAAGUCAGACGUGAAAUCCCUCGGCUUAACCGGGGAACUGCGUCUGAUACUGGAUGGCUUGGAUCCGGGAGAGGGAUGCGGAAUUCCAGGUGUAGCGGUGAAAUGCGUAGAUAUCUGGAGGAACACCGGUGGCGAAGGCGGCAUCCUGGACCGGUAUUGACGCUGAGGAGCGAAAGCCAGGGGAGCAAACGGG
rnacentral:rRNA from 1 species